rnacentral:rRNA from 1 species
UACGAAGGGGGCUAGCGUUGCUCGGAAUCACUGGGCGUAAAGCGCACGUAGGCGGAUUGCUAAGUCAGGGGUGAAAUCCUGGAGCUCAACUCCAGAACUGCCUUUGAUACUGGCGAUCUUGAGUCCGGGAGAGGUGAGUGGAACUGCGAGUGUAGAGGUGAAAUUCGUAGAUAUUCGCAAGAACACCAGUGGCGAAGGCGGCCCACUGGCCCGGUACUGACGCUGAGGUGCGAAAGCGUGGGGAGCAAACAGG